GUGGGGAAUUUUGGACAAUGGGCGCAAGCCUGAUCCAGCAAUGCCGCGUGCAGGAAGAAGGCCUUCGGGUUGUAAACUGCUUUUGUACGGAACGAAAAGGCUCUGGUUAAUACCUGGGGCUCAUGACGGUACCGUAAGAAUAAGCACCGGCUAACUACGUGCCAGCAGCCGCGGUAAUACGUAGGGUGCGAGCGUUAAUCGGAAUUACUGGGCGUAAAGCGUGCGCAGGCGGUGCUGUAAGACAGGCGUGAAAUCCCCGGGCUCAACCUGGGAAUUGCGCUUGUGACUGCAGUGCUGGAGUACGGCAGAGGGGGAUGGAAUUCCGCGUGUAGCAGUGAAAUGCGUAGAUAUGCGGAGGAACACCGAUGGCGAAGGCAGUCCCCUGGGCCUGUACUGACGCUCAUGCACGAAAGCGUGGGGAGCAAACAGGAUUAGAUACCCGUGUAGUCC
rnacentral:rRNA from 1 species